rnacentral:rRNA from 1 species
AUUGAACGCUGGCGGCAUGCUUUACACAUGCAAGUCGAACGGUAACAGGCCGCAAGGUGCUGACGAGUGGCGAACGGGUGAGUAAUGCAUCGGAACGUGCCCAGUCGCGGGGGAUAACGCAGCGAAAGCUGCGCUAAUACCGCAUACGAUCUAUGGAUGAAAGCGGGGGACCGUAAGGCCUCGCGCGAUUGGAGCGGCCGAUGUCAGAUUAGGUAGUUGGUGGGGUAAAGGCUCACCAAGCCGACGAUCUGAAGCUGGUCUGAGAGGAUGAUCGGCCACACGGGGCCUGAGACACGGCCCAGACUCCGACGGGAGGCAGCAGUGGGGAAUUUUGGACAAGGGGCGCAAGCCUGAUCCAGCCAUGCCGCGUGUCUGAAGAAGGCCUUCGGGUUGUAAAGGACUUUUGUCCGGGAGCAAAUACCCAGUGCUAAUAACGCUGGGGGCUGAGAGUACCGGAAGAAUAAGCACCGGCUAACUACGUGCCAGCCGCCGCAGUAAUAC